rnacentral:misc_RNA from 1 species
UGUGGUUAGAGCUGCAGGGUAUAAG